GUAAACACCUUAAUCACAUUAUUAACGUCGUGUGAGAGUUUUCACCAUUUUGCGACAGGACAUGAUCACACACGGCAGUGCUCAACCAUUCCAUGGCUGCAUCCCAAAACGCGUACUUGCCUACUAUAGGCCUGUAGUAGAUGAAAUACAUGUAUCACGGCUACUAUAUUGUAGGUAAGUACGCGGUUUGGGAUACAUCCCACGGUUUCAAGCAGUCAUCUAUUUGCACGUACAGCAUGACAAAUAAUUAACCGCACUUGAAGUGUUUGUAAAAAUUAUAAAUAAAAACACCAAAACUGUAUACGGUACCAUAACGAAGACGAACUGUAUGUUGAUACAUGAAAUUCUGGAGGGAUGUCGGAUGGUGUAGCAUGGUGACGUAAUGACGUGUGCUGUUAAUCGAACUAUGUUCUAUAACAUGUAAAACGGGUACAUGAAAGGAGUAUUCUAAAAGCAACUCAUGUAAACACCUUAAUCACAAUAUUGUUUUACUCAGAGUAAGGUCAAUAAUUAGAUUACUGUUGUCCAUGUAAACGUAAUCAAUGACUCAUCAUUUUUAUGUGGCUACUCUGUUUGUGUAUUGCCAAAUAUUGUUAAUGAGGCUCACUCUAUCCCCUUUGAUUCUGUUCAGGCUACGGAACUUGUUGCUCUCACGCAUGCUUGUCAUCUCUUUAAGGGUAAGACUGUUGCUAUUUACACUGAUUCACAUUUGCUGUUCGCAUCACACAUGAUUUUGGUAAGAUAUGGCAUGCUCAUGGUUUUUGUGCCGCUGAUGGUAAACACAUAUUGCAUGCCACGCUUGUUUCUGAUCUUUUAGAAGCCUCGCUCUUACCUGACAGGCUUGCUGUUGUUAAGGUUAAAGGUCAUGACUCCUCUAACACAGAAGAGGCCCGUGACACAGGACUCUCCAGAUGACCUCACAUUUUGGUCCUCGGAACGUUGUUCCCCAUCACCCACUGAUGGUUUAAUAUGCUGCCCUAAUGGCUGUCUUGCUCUUCUGUCUUUCCGUUCCUCAUGCGCCAUUUUCACAGUGUUUCUCAUGUCGCACGAAAAGGAGUGAUCUCUGAGAUAACAUCGAGGUUUUGUAUUCGAGACACUCAAAAAACUGUUAAAUUACUCCUUGAUGCAUGCUUAACUUGCACAAAUGUGAAUGUAAAGAAAACCACCAAACAUGAUGCAUUACCACCACCUAGUGGUCCUUUUCAGGCACUACAGAGACCUCAAAUAUUUUCUAGUUAUCAUGGAUAAAUCCUGUAAAUGGGUAGAAGCCUUUCCAUGCUUAAAGGAAAAUGCCAAUACCAUCGUUAAAGUUCUCGUAAAAGAAUUAUUCCCAUGGUACGGUAACUAUUGAUAGAGUAAACUGUUGAUAGUGACAAUGGGACACCUUUUAUUUCCAAAGUAACACAGAAACUGUGCAAGUAUCUAAAUAUUGAUUGGCACUUUCAUAUUCCAUAUCAUCCCCAGAGCUGAGGGAUUGUGGAAAGAAAAAAAUCACACCAUUAAGGACUGCCUUACAAAGGGGCUCUUACAGAACCCCUUAAGUAAUUGGGUCGAUUCAGUCCCUGCUGUCUUAUGCGAACUUUGCAUGACUCCUAAUCAGAAAAUUAAUUUGUCUCCUUUUGAGAUCAUUAUGAGCAGACCAUUUCCCACUCCAUGGUCCAAGGGUAACCCAGGUGUUUUCUUUACAGCUGAUCUGGACAUGAUUGUUGGUGAGUACACUCAAGCUCUCGUUGAAAAACUGAACAGUAUACAUGGUGAUAUUUCUGUUUCUCUCCCUCUGCCCACAGAACAGCCUACUCACCCUUUCCUCCCAGGUGACAUAAUUCUCGUCAAGAGCCUGAAACCACAAAAGGUUGGGGAAGCAGCCUUUGGUCAUCCUAUACGUGUGGUGUCCAUUACCUGCACUGCUGUCCUCAUGGAUUCACAACCCCAGUGGAUUCAUGCCAGUUGCAUCAAGCGCUGUCCAGCUGUGACAAGGGACGACACUGCUAUCACGUAGCCCUUGUGGGGCCUCAUCGCAUCUCACCUCAACAUAUCCUCAACAGAUGACAGAUAAAGGCAGCGCUUCCAGCUCCAGCCACAGGUCUGCUGCAUGUUCUGAAGCCUGGAGAGUGGAUCAUGAUCAAGGACUUCCGCAGGACCAGGUGGAACAAGCCAUGGUGGUCUGGGCCAUUCCAGAUUCUCUUUGUCACUUAUUCAGCAGUGAAAGUCAAUCAGAGAGUCACAUGGAUGAGGGUGCAAGCCACUGCAGGAGGGUGCCAGAACCAAGCAUUGAGCUGGAGAAGAUGGGACUGCAAUAGGAGAACUAGACCGUAAUUCUCUAUCAAGAGGCCUCUAGGAGGACCAACGCUCACGAGAGACAAUCCGCAUAUACACACCCACACAUAUGACACACUGCACUCAAA